AAUCUUGCAGCUUAGUGCGAACGAGUUGCGCAUGCGACGUGACUGCGCCAUUCCGCCGCCGUCGUCCUUGGGCGACGUACAGCUGGCCGUCGACGGGUUUGACCACCAUGAAGCUCUUCGUGGCCGUCGCCGUGGUGGCCGCGCUCGGUGUCGCCGCCGAGCUGCCCGAGAACCCCUCCAUCACGUACGGCAGGGGCAGCGUGACGGGCAAGCGGCUGCAGAGUGCUGGGCUGCGCGAAGGAGUCGCGGCCAGGGACUACGCCGCUUUCUGGGGAAUCCCCUUCGCCGAGCCCCCCGUCGGCAAGCUCAGGUUCAAGCCACCGGUGCCCAAAGACCUCCCAGACCAACAGUUCAACGCCACCAACGAAUUGAACCUGAUGUGCAUGCAGCAGCCCCGGAAAUACCUCGAUGUGAUCGGUGAAGAGGACUGCCUGAAUCUGCAAGUCUUCACCCCGAAUUACGACACUGCCAACCUGCCCGUGGUGGUGCUCAUCCAUGGCGGUGGCUUCAUGACCGGCUGGGGUCCGCGCUCCGGCGUGCAAUACAUCAUGGACUACGACGUGGUCCUGGUCGUCAUCGCAUACCGCCUCAACGUGCUUGGUUACAUGAGCUUCGAGGACGAGGACUUGCGGGGCAACCUGGGCAUGCUGGACCAGGUGGAGGCCCUGAAGUGGGUGCAGCGCAACAUUCACUACUUCGGCGGGAACAAGGACAGCGUCACGCUGGUGGGCAACUCCGCCGGCUGCGCCAGCUGUUUGCUGCACACCAUGUCGCCGCUGUCGAGGGGCUUGUUCCACAGAGUGAUUGGCACGAGUGGCACCCCGCUCAACCCCUGGGCGCAACAGCACUCCGCUCGCGAGAACGCCAACCGCGUGGCCGACCUGGUGGGGUGCGCCGGCAGCACCACGGCGGAGAAGAUGGACUGCCUGCAGAGCAAGCCUGCCUCACAACUCGUGCGCCUGCAGGGGGAACACUUUCAGCCCUGGAUGAGGAAUCCCUUUGCGCCGUUUUCCACCGUCGUCGACGGCGUCUUUCUGACUGACAAGCCCGAGAAGGUGCUGGAGGACGUCGAUGCCGUCAUGGACGUGCCCCUGCUGCUCGGCUUCGUUCCCAUCGAGGGACUGUUCCCUGGGGGAGAAUUCAUCUUGAACGCUUCGCUGGUACAGGAUCUGGACGAGCACUGGGAGACAGUGGCACCGCUGCUGCUAAGCUUCCACGACAAGCGGGUUCUUGACGCUGACAAGCCGAUACUUGCCCGAAAAAUCCGUCAAUUUUACCUCGAGAAUAAGUCUCUGGAAUCGGCCAAGGAGCAGCUGCUCAAGCUGAUGACCGACGGCAACUUCAUGUCCGGGGUGGCCAGCCACAUCGCGAGGCGCGCGGCCGUGCAGUCGCAACCCGUGUAUGCGUACGAGUUCGCACACCGCGGAGAGUACAGCAACUACGCCGGAGGCCUGGGCGUGGGCCAUGCGGACGACCAGCUGUACCCCAUACAGCAGAGCGGAGUCUUCCACCGGCAGGAUGACAUAAUUAUCCGGAGAACCAUUCUUGACAUGUGGUUCUCCUUCAUCCAAACCUCGAACCCCAGCAUCCCCGGCGUCACAUGGGAGCCAGUCGUUCAGAACGGCGCAGGGGCCGCCGUGAGGUACCUACGAAUUGUCGAUCCAGACAACGUGACCAUGGCCGAGGAUCGGGACUUGGGCAACGUCGCCUUCUGGAAGGAUCUGCGCUCCGAACCGUAAGCUUCAUCCAGGCACCGCGAAUCCAAGGAUAGGGCCGUCCCACAACUGCAGGCGUGGGACUUUUUAGUCCACGCCGACAAAUUACGUUGAGAGGUGCAAACCGCAAAUCACUCCCGCCUUGCUGAGUCAUCAGUCGCGCUGUCCCUGGCUGCAGCCAGCGCUCUGGUCCUCGUCAGCGCCACAAUGAAUUAAACAUCGCUCUGCUCCGGGGAGAAAUUCUGUUAAAAAAUGGUCACUGCUACCACUGUGAAA
rnacentral:misc_RNA from 1 species